AUGGCAGCUGUACCAUUUAUUAUUUCCGUGGCCUCCCUCCCAUUUGGGUGCCACUGGUCUCUCCCUCUCCUCUCCACCUCUCCUCUCUCUGUCUCUCCUCCAGUGGGUGUGGUGCAGCCCACCCUGACCGUCCUCCCCCCCUCCAGAGGGGAGCUGCAGCAGGGCAAAGCCACACUGCUGUGUCUGGCCAACGGGGGCUCCCCCUCAGCCUGGAGGCUGGGCUGGAAGGUGGGGGGCUGCAGCAGCUCCUCAGGGGUGUCAAACAGCCUGGAGGUCCUGGGGAGGGACGGCCACUACAGCUGGAGCAGCACCCUGAGCCUCUCUGCAGACCAGUGGAGGAAGGCGGGCUCCGUGAGCUGUGUGGCCAGUCUGGAUGGCCAGAGCCCUGUCACUCAAACCUUGGACCCUGACCGCUGCUCCCAGUAGAGCUUCAGCAACGCUUAUUAUCCAAAUGCUGCUUCUUUGCUUCAACUGACUUCACUCAGCUUCAGUGUGUGAAUGUCACUUUUACACAUUCGAACAAAAUUACAUAA